AUUGAACGCUGGCGGCAUGCCUAACACAUGCAAGUCGAACGGCAGCACGGUUACUUGCUGCUGUUAGCGAGUGGCGAACGGGUGCGUAAUACAUAGGCACCUGUCCCUUCGUUUUGGAGUGCCCUAACGAAGCCGGAUUUACUCCACGACCGAAUCUCACAUAAGAGCGAGGGCGCGGGAUCUUUCGCGCUGUCGGGAUUGAAUAUGCCGAUGUCGGAUUAGCUAGUUGGUGGGGUAAAGGCCUACGAAGGCGACGAUCAGUAGCUGGUCUGAGAGGACGAUCAGCCACACUGGAACUGAGACACGGCCCAGACUCCUACGGGAGGCAGCAGUGGGGAAUUUUGGACAAUGGGCGAAAGCCUGAUCCAGCAAUGCCGCGUGUGUGAAGAAGGCCUUCGGGUUGUAAAGCCCUUUUGUCCGGAAAGAAAACCUUGGCCCUAAUACGGAGGUGGGAUGACGGUACCGGAAGAAUAAGCACCGGCUAACUACGUG
rnacentral:rRNA from 1 species